AAAAAUGGAUCUGAUGGAUCUGAUGGAUCCGAUGGAUCCAAUGGAUUUUAGUUAUAUAAAAAAAAAUGGAUCCGAUGGAUCCAAUGGAUAACUAAAAUCCAUUGGAUCCAUCGGAUCUAUUUUUUUUAUAACUAAAAUCCAUUGGAUCCAUCAGAUGCAUCGGAUCCAUUUUUUU